UAUAACAUUUAUAUAUAUCAUUUAUUUGUACUUUAAAGUUAUUUCAGAAAAAGAAAGUUGUUCACUCUGUAAAAAUUGUCUUAAUCCGUUGUUACCCGACAACUGUAAAAUUCGUAUUUAUCCACGACCUAUUGUUUCCAAGCAAAUUCUACGGUUACAUAAGAAAGAACAAAGUCGCUCUUGGAAUUUGAGUAUGAAAGAUAAGAAAAAAUUGGCUCGGUUCAAAUCUCAAUCAAAUAAAAUCGUUUGUUUAUGUUUAAACUGUAAGAAAAGAAU